rnacentral:rRNA from 1 species
UACGGGGGGGGCAAGCGUUAUCCGGAAUUAUUGGGCGUAAAGCGCGCGCAGGUGGUUUCUUAAGUCUGAUGUGAAAGCCCACGGCUCAACCGUGGAGGGUCAUUGGAAACUGGGAGACUUGAGUGCAGAAGAGGAAAGUGGAAUUCCAUGUGUAGCGGUGAAAUGCGUAGAGAUAUGGAGGAACACCAGUGGCGAAGGCGACUUUCUGGUCUGUAACUGACACUGAGGCGCGAAAGCGUGGGGAGCAAACAGG